rnacentral:rRNA from 1 species
ACUCAAAGGAAUAGACGGGGGCCCGCACAAGCGGUGGAGCAUGUGGUUUAAUUCGACGCAACGCGAAGAACCUUACCUAGGCUUGACAUGCAGGAGAAACCCCUCAGAAACGGGGGGCCCUCUUCGGAGUUCCUGCACAGGUGCUGCAUGGCUGUCGUCAGCUCGUGUCGUGAGAUGUUGGGUUAAGUCCCGCAACGAGCGCAACCCCCGUUCCUAGUUGCCAGCGGGUAAAGCCGGGGACUCUAGGGAGACUGCCGGUGCCAAACCGGAGGAAGGUGGGGAUGACGUCAAGUCAUCAUGGUCCUUACGUCUAGGGCUACACACGUGCUACAAUGGCCGGUACAGCGGGACGCGAGACUGCAAAGUGGAGCCAAUCCCAGAAAGCCGGCCUCAGUUCGGAUUGGGGGCUGCAACCCGCCCCCAUGAAGCUGGAAUCGCUAGUAAUCGCGGAUCAGCUACGCCGCGGUGAAUACGUUCCCGGGCCUUGUACACACCGCCCGU